UUCCUUUCGCUAUACUCCACCAUCCAUCGGUUUUUCUUCUCUUCUCUCUGCCUCUCUCUGAUUCUUUGGCAUUUCGCUUUCUCCUUUUUCCCACUUGUUCCUCUUUUUUCUUUUAUCAUCCUCUUCUUUCCUUGUCUCCCUUUUUCUGUGCUUCCUCGAAGCUGGCUGGAUUGAUGGAACACCGAGGGAUGGCUGUGAUCUGGUCAACGUACGGUUCAUUGAAUAAGGUAUCACCAAGGCCGAGGCGAAGUUUUAUGAGGUUAGCACCGACUGGGAGCGCCGGUGUGAGUGGAGUUCGAGAAUUCCGCUUUAUCCAGUUUUAUCGCUAAAGAACGGGGGACGAAUAGAAAACAAGACAGGUUCGACUGGAUUCCGUUUUACCGAUGA
rnacentral:misc_RNA from 1 species